CAGGCUUCUUUUUACUCCCAUCCUGCAAAAAGAGCACUGUGAAGCAGACCACAAACCCUAGGAAGUGGUCCUCAUGGAACACCUUUCCCGAAGAGAUGGUGAUGUGGCCAUUUGACAUGGGACACAGCAGGCGCUGGAAGAAGCACAUAUUUUUAGUGACAAAGACUGUGACAAUCGUAAGUCAGAAAGAAGACACUCAACCACUGAAUUAGGACUUUUGAAGUAGUAAUUGGUAGUGGUAAGAUGGCUCUCUGCUCAGCUCCUGUCUGGCCCCUGACCCUGAACUCCUGCUUGGCUUGUGUAUGGCAGACAUGCCCUGACCUUGUGCAGGAGGAAACUUGUUGAAGAAGCAUCUCCACUUUUGCACACACUCACCUUGGAAAGACGUAAAAAUGAUUACACAGUAAGGCCGUGGGGUGGGGUUCUCCUGGCAGAUUCAAG